rnacentral:rRNA from 1 species
UUCGCAAUGCCCGAAAGGGUGACGAUGCGACGUCGCGUGAGCGAAGAAGGCCCUAGGGUUGUAAAGCUCUGUCGAGGGUUAUGAAAUAUAGAUGGGUUAAUACCCCAUUUAUUUGACAAAAGCCCAAAAGGAAGCCACGGCUAACUCUGUGCCAGCAGCCGCGGUAAUACAGAGGUGGCGAGCGUUGUUCGGUAUUAUUGGGCGUAAAGAGCACGUAGGUGGUUUUGUAAGUCAGGUGUGAAAGCCUUCUGUUCAAAGGAAGAACGGCAUCUGAAACUGCAGAUCUUGAGUGUAGGAGGGGAGAGUGGAACUUCUGGUGGAGCGGUGAAAUGCGUGGAUAUCAGAAGGAACGUCGGCGGCGAAAGCGACUCUCUGGCCUAUUACUGACACUGAGGUGCGAAAGUUAGGGGAGCAAACGGGAUUAGAUACCCCGGUAGUCCUAACCGUAAACGAUGGGCACUAAGUAGAGGGGUUUU